CUUAUACUCCCUCCGUUUGGAAUUACUUGUCGCAUAAAUAGAUGUAUCUAGACGUAUUUUAGUUCUAGAUACAUCCAUUUUCGAGACAAGUAAUUCCGAACGGAUGGAGUAGUAU
rnacentral:pre_miRNA from 1 species